AGCGAACGCUGGCGGCAGGCCUAACACAUGCAAGUCGAACGAACUCUUCGGAGUUAGUGGCGGACGGGUGAGUAACACGUGGGAACGUGCCUUUUGGUUCGGAAUAACUCAGGGAAACUUGUGCUAAUACCGAAUGUGCCCUUCGGGGGAAAGAUUUAUCGCCAUUAGAGCGGCCCGCGUCUGAUUAGCUAGUUGGUGAGGUAACGGCUCACCAAGGCGACGAUCAGUAGCUGGUCUGAGAGGAUGACCAGCCACACUGGGACUGAGACACGGCCCAGACUCCUACGGGAGGAAGCAGUGGGGAAUCUUGCGCAAUGGGCGAAAGCCUGACGAAGCCAUGCCGCGUGAAUGAUGAAGGUCUUAGGAUUGUAAAAUUCUUUCACAGGGGACGAUAAUGACGGUACCCGGAGAAGAAGCCCCGGCUAACUUCGUG
rnacentral:rRNA from 1 species